AAAAAAGAAGAAAACCGCCACGUGUACGUACUCAAACGGCCAGGAACCGGCACCUGCCGGAUGGUACCUAGGCUCGGGCCGCGACCGGUUGCUUUAAAAGAGGAGGUCUGCGGCGGAGGAACGCGUGCUGGUCCUGGUUGUGGUUCUCCUCGGCGAUCCGGCGGGAUUACUACGGCGGGAUGGAGUGGUGGGAUCGCGUGGCGUUCCCGAUGAGGAGGGCCUGGAUCGGCGUCACCGCUCGACUCGGCCUCCGGAAGACCGGGUUGGGGAGGCUGAGGAAGGAGGUGAGUACGUGCGAGUACGAGGACGUGCACGUGAUGUGGGAGCUGCUGCGGAGGACGGACGCGGAGGUGGCGAGGAUGAGACCGGGGGGGAGGAGGAGGAGGAGGAGGGGGCGGCACGUGUGGGACGUGUUCGGGUGGGCUCGGCGAGCGGCGCCGUGCAACUACUGCCGGGGCUUCUGAGCCUCUGGCACGUGUGAGAGCCCCCUGUGUCUGUGUGUCCUUUUCCCUUUCUCUGUUGUUAUGCCAUGGGGAUUUUACUUUGUGAGUCAUCAUCCUUCUUCGUUGUAGAUACCACCAACUACAGAGAAUGGGAAUGGAGAGGGGAGAGAUGCCACUUGUUGGUUCUCUCUCUCUUGUUGAUGCCAUGGUGUUCGGCUAAGAUAUUUUUUGUUUCUUGAUAUAUUUAGUAUGAAUAAAUGAUUAUAGAUUUUAAUUA